AAAAAUCUAUAUAUAUUAAACCAAAAACAAACAACCACUACAACAAAAUAACAUCAACGUAUGGCCAGUAGUUAUCACCCAAAAAGUGCAUUGUUUGGAUUAACACCACAAGAGACCGACAAUGUUAUUGUAUUUGUAUUGGUAGCUGACUCAGAAUCAUCUCUCAAGAGAUAAAGAACGUGAGAUGUUGUUCAUAUUUCGGCCAUAUCAUAUCAUCUAAUACAAGGUGGCGUGUGCCUGUGCUGUCCCCUCACUUAUCACUAACAUUUGCAAUUCUUCACCUCAAAGUGGAGGAGACAAAUCCUAUCCUAAGCACAUCCAAAAUUAACCCUUUGGUCUUUAUACUUCCAAAUAUGUUAAGUUUGGACAGUUACGUAUUAAAGUUCAAAUACUAAUCCACCUCCGUGCUCUUCUUCUGCAUUCCAAACUUCAAAUAACAAAUUUGCCCCAACCAUCUU
rnacentral:lncRNA from 1 species